rnacentral:rRNA from 1 species
GACGAACGCUGGCGGCGUGCUUAACACAUGCAAGUCGAACGGAAAGGCCCUGCUUUUGUGGGGUGCUCGAGUGGCGAAAGGGUGAGUAACACGUGAGUAACCUGCCCUUGACUUUGGGAUAACUUCAGGAAACUGGGGCUAAUACUGGAUAGGAGCUCCUGCUGCAUGGUGGGGGUUGGAAAGUUUCGGCGGUUGGGGAUGGACUCGCGGCUUAUCAGCUUGUUGGUGGGGUAGUGGCUUACCAAGGCUUUGACGGGUAGCCGGCCUGAGAGGGUGACCGGCCACAUUGGGACUGAGAUACGGCCCAGACUCCUACGGGAGGCAGCAGUGGGGAAUAUUGCACAAUGGGCGGAAGCCUGAUGCAGCAACGCCGCGUGCGGGAUGACGGCCUUCGGGUUGUAAACCGCUUUCGCCUGUGACGAAGCGUGAGUGACGGUAAUGGGUAAAGAAGCACCGGCUAACUACGUG